UCUGUGAUGGAAAUGGUGAGUGUUUUUCUUCAACAGUUCCCAGCUGUAGUGAAUCACACUCGCAGUGGGUCACGGAAAAAUGACAGCAGGCUCCGUUUAACAUGAGCUGCUUUGUGUCGGCGCUGUGACAGGAGGAAAAUGCUCAGAGGAAGUCCUGCAAGGUCAAGGUCUUCACUGUGAACCACACUGGACCUGGGUCUCUGAUGAACUGGACCUGACAUUUCCAAACAACACAGCGUGACUGCUCUCCAGGCCUCCAACCCAUUGAACACACUCUUCACAACCAGUGCAAAGGUCAGAGUGGGAUCAAGGCCUCAAGCCAGAUUCAUCCUGAACACAUCCAUCAGCCUUAUGACAUCACGGGGUCAACAGCUUUACUUCGCCCCUCAACCAUCGGGGACGAUUGUACAGCUGAGGGCUGCGUUUUUCAUCAUAUGAGAGCUUAAAACAUCAUAUAACCCGACACUGAGACCUGGAAGGAAAUAAGAUGACACCCCUACCCCCCCCCACACACAGACAGAUGUCCAUUCAGCUCGCUUUCAAAGGCUACCAUCUUCCCUCCAUGCAAAAACAAGGCCACUUCCUGUCCAUCCGAUCUCAGCGGAAGAGGAAAUGGAACCUGUUUCCCAUUCCUACAGCAGAAGACAACCGGUAUCUAUCGGUCAGCUCUCGGAUACACACUCGCACAGGCGUUAUCGUUUCCCUCGGCAACACAUCCUCGGCGCAAGCGCCGAUACGCUCGAGAGUGUGUCAAGAUAACGAUUCGGUGUCAGAACUAAUCUGAUGGGAUUCGUUAGGCGUCUCAAAGGAAGGCGUGGAUAACUGUAUCAGUGAAGAUAAACAGGACAGAUUCAGAUUUUUUGACACACUGCUAAAUUACACAAUCUUUCCUUCACACUGUAGUGCUAAUUCCACCACAGAUUCAGUAACCAACUAGUCCUUACCUAGUUACUGCACUGCAAACUGGUGACCUCAACCCUCAACAUGUGGCAUCUGGAAAUAUGUGUCUGUGUCUAAUCUGGUCCAGUAAGCUCGAAUAUCUCUCCCCACUCCUAAAACACUGAUACACAUGAGUGUCUCGUGAUAUGAUGCAACAGCCACUGUAAAGCU